rnacentral:rRNA from 1 species
AGUCAUAUGCUUGUCUCAAAGAUUAAGCCAUGCAGGUCUAAGUCCAUGCCGCAAUAAGGUGAGACCGCGAAUGGCUCAUUAUAUCAGUUAUGGUUCCUUGGAUCUUCGGUUACACUUGGGUAACCCUGGUAAUUCUAGAGCUAAUACAUGCAUGACUACACCGACUUUCGGGAAGGUGUGUUUUUAUUAGACCAAAACCAAUCGUUUCCUUCGGGGACGUUUUGUUGAUGAUUCUGAAUAACUUUGAGCGGAUCGUACGGUCUUUGCACCGACGACGUAUCCUUCAAAUGUCUGCCUUAUCAACUUGUUGGUUGUUUAAUGGACAACCAAGGUGGUAACGGGUGACGGAGAAUCAGGGUUCGAUACCGGAGAGGGAGCAUGAGAAACGGCUACCACAUCUAAGGAAGGCAGCAGGCACGUAAAUUACCCACUCCCAGCUCGGGGAGGUAGUGACGAAAAAUAACAAUACGAGACUCAUCCGAGGCUUCGUAAUUGGAAUGAGUACACUUUAAAUCCUUUAACGAGGAUCUAUUGGAGGGCAAGUCUGGUGCCAGCAGCCGCGGUAAUUCCAGCUCCAAUAGCGUAUAUUAAAGUUGCUGCGUUUAAAAAGCUCGUAGUUGGAUCUCAGUCUCGAUCGAGCGGUCCGUCUUCUGACGGCACUGCGCGAAUCGGACAUUCCGCCGCGUUUCCCCUCAUGCUCUUCACUGAGUGUGGGGGGGAGAGUGGUACGUUUACUUUGAAAAAAUUAGAGUGCUCAAAGCAGGCCACCGCCUGAAUAGUCGUGCAUGGAAUGAUGGAUAGGGCCUCGGUUCUAUUUUGUGGUUCCGGACUCGAGGUAUGAUUAAUAGGACGGACGGGGGCAUUU